rnacentral:rRNA from 1 species
GUGCUUAACACAUGCAAGUCGAACGAUGAAGCCUAGCUUGCUAGGUGGAUUAGUGGCGCACGGGUGAGUAAUAUAUAGAUAACGUGCCUCUUAGUCUGGGAUAGCCAUUGGAAACGAUGAUUAAUACUAGAUACUCCUUCUCCUUCUAAUUGGAGUUGGGAAAGUUUUUCGCUAAGAGAUCGGUCUAUAUCCCAUCAGGUAGUUGGUAGUGUAAGAGACUACCAAGCCUAUGACGGGUAGCGGGUUUGAGAGGAUGAUCCGCCACACUGGUACUGAGACACGGACCAGACUCCUACGGGAGGCAGCAGUGAGGAAUAUUGCACAAUGGAGGAAACUCUGAUGCAGCAACGCCGCGUGGAGGAUGACGCAUUUCGGUGUGUAAACUCCUUUUAUAGGUCAAGAAAAUGACGGUAGCCUAUGAAUAAGCACCGGCUAACUCCGUGCCAGCAGCCGCGGUAAUACGGAGGGUGCAAGCGUUAUUCGGAAUCACUGGGCGUAAAGGACACGUAGGCGGGAAGCCAAGUCUGAUGUGAAAUCCUAUGGCUCAACCAUAGAACUGCAUUGGAAACUGGUUACCUAGAGUAUGGGAGGGGGAGAUGGAAUUAGUGGUGUAGGGGUAAAAUCCGUAGAUAUCACUAGGAAUACCUAAAGCGAAGGCGAUCUCCUGGAACAUUACUGACGCUAAGGUGUGAAAGCGUGGGGAGCAAACGGGAUUAGAUACCCCGGUAGUCCACGCCCUAAACGAUGUUCACUAGUCGUCGGGAUGCUAGUCAUCUCGGUGAUGCACUUAACAGAUUAAGUGAACCGCCUGGGGAGUAC